UUCCAUGCAGACAUGUAUAAAGUACUAGAGACUCAUACUUGACUAAAAGUACGAGUGCUCUAUCAAAAAAGUGACUUGAGUAGAAGUUGAAGUGCUCUUUAAGCACCCCACUUAAGUAGAAGAACUAAAGUAUUCAAAAAAUGUUGUACUUAAGUAUUGCAAGUAGUUUAUUGUUAACAUGUGUAAUGUCCAAGUGAGCAAGCUAGCAAAAUACAGGAAAACUAGCAGCGCCACAUCACAGGGUAAAACGGUUAACAUUCAGUUCUCGUUGCAGACUGGAACAACUCAGGAAUAGCUUAAUCUGCGGUAACAAUAGCUAAAUAGAAAGAGUACAAACUAACAUUGUCUCUGAGAAGAAACGCAAGGCAACCUCUGGGAUUUAUUACAUAAUUAUUGGACGCAACUACUGUAGCCGUAGCUACACACACUGCAACCUACACAGUCUCCAUAGCGUGAGGAAUUCACAACAGUAAAUUGUAACAAUGCGGCACAUACAAAAAUGUAUCAAAGUAUUAUAGUAUUAAACUCAUUGAAAAUAUGUACUCAAGUGGAAGUAGGAGAA